UGAGUUAGUGGCGGACGGGUGAGUAACGCGUGGGUAACCUGCCUUACACUGGGGGAUAACACUUAGAAAUAGGUGCUAAUACCGCAUAAGCGCACGAAGCCGCAUGGAUUUGUGUGAAAAACUCCGGUGGUGUAAGAUGGACCCGCGUCUGAUUAGCUUGUUGGCGGGGUAACGGCCCACCAAGGCGACGAUCAGUAGCCGGCCUGAGAGGGUGGACGGCCACAUUGGGACUGAGACACGGCCCAAACUCCUACGGAAGGCAGCAG
rnacentral:rRNA from 1 species